CAGGACUUUCUAUCCCCCGGUGGCUGCAGGAACCCUGGGUUGAUUUUGCAUCAGGAGCAUCAAGUCUCCUAGCGGUGAGGGAAAGGAGAGGAGAGUAGAAAGUUAAGUGCAGAAAUUCACCCAUGCGAGACCCUUAUGAUGCUCAGUGGUGCUGAUUGGAAGUGCUGGAGGAGAAUCUCUCCAACAUAGAGGGAAUCAUUAGCCACCCAAACCUGUCUGUUGAGAAGACUCCCAGAAACCCCUUGGACCCACAGUUGCUGAGUGUGCCGGGACUGGCCUUGGAUAGCUCUCCAGCCUUACAAGGGACAGCAGUGUUUUGAGGACAUUUGUGGGAUUUUCAUUAGCUCUGUCUCUCCUCUCUUUCUCCCAUGUAGGAAGAGGGGAUGACAACCUCACUGUUGUAGAAAAGGAAACAGUGGCAUUGAUUCAAACCAGUAAAAGACACCUCUUGGUUCCCUGGUACAACUCCGUCUUUUAAAUGGUGACAUCUGUACUUAAAUGGUUAUACCAGGUAUUCUGCCUGAAAUCUUACUCUACUGUUUGAGUAGUUAGAGAUCCACAGGUUAAUUAAAGACUUUAAUUUUCC
rnacentral:lncRNA from 1 species